rnacentral:sRNA from 1 species
AGAGAAAAGAGAGGAC